UACGUAGGUGGCAAGCGUUGUUCGGAAUUACUGGGCGUAAAGCGCACGUAGGCGGACUAUUAAGUCAGGGGUGAAAUCCCGGGGCUCAACCCCGGAACUGCCUUUGAUACUGGUAGUCUCGAGUCCGGAAGAGGUGAGUGGAAUUCCGAGUGUAGAGGUGAAAUUCGUAGAUAUUCGGAGGAACACCAGUGGCGAAGGCGGCUCACUGGUCCGGUACUGACGCUGAGGUGCGAAAGCGUGGGGAGCAAACAGG
rnacentral:rRNA from 1 species